rnacentral:rRNA from 1 species
AUGGCUUCCCUGCUCAUACCGCUGCUGGGCCGCGUGGCGGCCAAGGCCGGCGACGCGCUGGUAGCCGAGUUGCUGCGGGCGUGGGGGCUGGACAAGGCCCGCCGGAAGCUUGAGCGCCACCUCGCCGCCGUCCAGUGCAUCCUGCUCGACGCCGACGCCAAGAGCCGCACCAACCCCGCCGUCAGCCGGUGGGUCAAGGACCUCAAGACUGCCGCCUACCAGGCCGACGACGUCCUCGACGGCUUCCGCUACGAGGCGCUGCGCCGCCGUGCCACCGCCCAGUUCCACCGCUGCUCCACGGCACGCAAGGUGCUGGGCUAUUUCACAGCCGACAGCCCGCUUCUUUUCCGUCUUUCCAUGAGUAGGAAGAUGAAGGAUGCCCUUGAGAUGAUAGAUGAACUGGUUGCGGAGAUGAACAAUUUCCACUUCCUACAACGUACCGAGGCACCAACCAUUGUCCAUCCGCAAACACAUUCUUGUGUCGAUGAAUCAGAGAUCAUCGGCAGACAAGACGACAAGGAACAAGUGGUGAAGAUAUUGCUCGACCACUCCAACAACAGUAAUGAUGGACAUAAUGUCACGGUGCUCCCCAUAGUUGGCAUGGGGGGAAUCGGUAAGACCACCCUUGCUCAACUUGUGCACAAUGACCAGAGAGUGAUGCAUCAUUUUGAGUUGGUGAUAUGGAUCUGUGUCUCUGACAAGUUUGCUAUCGAAGGAAUAAUCCGAUCUAUAAUAGAAUUGGCCACACUGAAGAAGUGUGGUUUGACUCAGACCGAGGCACUGCACAAGGAGCUUAGUCGGGUGUUGGGCAAGAAAAGGUACCUCCUGGUGCUGGAUGAUGUUUGGAAUGAAGAUAGACAAAAGUGGGACGAUAUGAGAUCAGUGUUGUGCUCACAUGCUGGCCUAGGUAGUGUUAUAAUUGUGACAAGCCGCAGCGAGCAAGUUGCUUCUAUCAUGGGCACACUUCCUCCACAUCAGAUAUCACUUCUAAACGAGGAUCAAUCAUGGGAGCUUUUUCACAAGAACACAUUUGGAAGGGAAGCAGAAAAGCAAGAGGAAUUAGUUUCAAUGGCUAAAAGUAUUCUCCACAAGUGUAAGGGAUUGCCUCUCGCUAUCAAGACCAUAGCAGCUUUACUUCGUUCGAAGCAUCAAAGUCAGUGGUUUUCUGUUUUGGAUAGUGAUGUCUGGAAGAAUGACAUCCUCGCAGCUGGGAUUGUACCUGCACUACAGCUAAGCUAUGAUCACUUGUCAUCAGAAGCAAAAGUAUGUUUUUUCCUUCUGUGCUAUUUUCCCCAAGGAUAG